CUCCACUAUUUCACAAGGAGGGUGGUGACGCACUGAAAUGGAUUACCUAGGGAGGUGGCAGAAUCUCCAUCCUUAGAGGUUUUUAAGGCCUGGCUUAACAAAGCCCUGGCUGGGAUGAUUUAGUUGGGGUUGGUCCUGCUUUGAGCAGGAGGUUGGACUAGAU